rnacentral:rRNA from 1 species
UGGGGAAUUUUCCGCGAUGGGCGAAAGCCUGACGGAGCAACGCCGCGUGCGGGAGGACGGCCUGUGGGUUGUAAACCGCUUUUCUCAGGGUAGAUAAUGACGGUACCUGAGGAAUCAGCAUCGGCUAACUCCGUGCCAGCAGCCGCGGUAAUACGGGGGAUGCAAGCGUUAUCCGGAAUUAUUGGGCGUAAAGCGUCCGUAGGCGGCCAGGCAAGUCUGCUGUUAAAUAUCGGGGCUUAACCCCGAGCGUGCAGUGGAAACUGUUUGGCUAGAGUACGGUAGGGGUUGAGGGAAUUCCCAGUGUAGCGGUGAAAUGCGUAGAUAUUGGGAAGAACACCAGUGGCGAAGGCGCUCAACUGGGCCGUAACUGACGCUGAUGGACGAAAGCUAGGGGAGCGAAAGGGAUUAGAUACCCCCGUAGUCC